rnacentral:rRNA from 1 species
AAAUUGAAGAGUUUGAUCAUGGCUCAGAUUGAACGCUGGCGGCAGGCCUAACACAUGCAAGUCGAACGGUAGCACAGAGAGCUUGCUCUCGGGUGACGAGUGGCGGACGGGUGAGUAAUGUCUGGGAAACUGCCUGAUGGAGGGGGAUAACUACUGGAAACGGUGGCUAAUACCGCAUAACGUCGCAAGACCAAAGAGGGGGACCUUCGGGCCUCUUGCCAUCAGAUGUGCCCAGAUGGGAUUAGCUAGUUGGUGAGGUAACGGCUCACCAAGGCGACGAUCCCUAGCUGGUCUGAGAGGAUGACCAGCCACACUGGAACUGAGACACGGUUCAGACUCCUACGGGAGGCAGCAGUGGGGAAUAUUGCACAAUGGGCGCAAGCCUGAUGCAGCCAUGCCGCGUGUAUGAAGAAGGCCUUCGGGUUGUAAAGUACUUUCAGCGGGGAGGAAGGUGUUGUG